ACGAACGCUGGCGGCGUGCUUCACACAUGCAAGUCGCACGGAAAGGCCCUGCUUUUGUGGGGUGCUCGAGUGGCGAACGGGUGAGUAACACGUGAGUAACCUGCCCUUGACUUUGGGAUAACUUCAGGAAACUGGGGCUAAUACCGGAUAGGAGCUCCUGCUGCAUGGUGGGGGUUGGAAAGUUUCGGCGGUUGGGGAUGGACUCGCGGCUUAUCAGCUUGUUGGUGGGGUAGUGGCUUACCAAGGCUUUGACGGGUAGCCGGCCUGAGAGGGUGACCGGCCACAUGGGGACUGAGAUACGGCCCAGACUCCUACGGGAGGCAGCAGUGGGGAAUAUUGCACAAUGGGCGGAAGCCUGAUGCAGCAACGCCGCGUGCGGGAUGACGGCCUUCGGGUUGUAAACCGCUUUCGCCUGUGACGAAGCGUGAGUGACGGUAAUGGGGAAAGAAGCACCGGCUAACUACGU
rnacentral:rRNA from 1 species